AACGCACACUGCGCCCGCCAGCACUCUGGCGGGCAUGCCUGUCCGAGCGUCAUUUACCACCCUCGGGCCCCCUGGGGGGCCCGGUGCUGGGGGCACGGCCGAGGCCGCCCCCUAAAUGCAGUGGCGACCCCGCCGCGUCCUCCCCUGCGCAGUAGCACAAUCUCGCACCGGAAGCGCGGAGGCGGUCACGCCUGGAAACGCCCCAACUCAACGCAGUUGACCUCGGAUCAGGUAGGAGUACCCGCUGAACUUAA
rnacentral:misc_RNA from 1 species